rnacentral:tRNA from 1 species
GCCUGGCUGGCUCAGUCAGUAGAGCAUGCGACUCUUGAUCUCAGGAUUGUGAGUUCAAGCCCCAUGUUGGGCA